UCCCUGGAAGACUAGUGGUUAGACCUCGACACUCUGACCGUCUCGGCCCGGGUUCGAUUCCCGGCCAGGGGA